UCCCCCUUUAGUACCAGGUGGGUCAGCUGUAAUAACACAACAUCUCCCCCUUUAGUACCAGGUGGGUCAGCUGUAAUAACACAACAUCUCCCCCUUUAGUACCAGGUGGGUCAGCUGUAAUAACACAACAUCUCCCCCUUUAGUACCAGGUGGGUCAGCUGUAAUAACACAACAUCUCCCCCUUUAGUACCAGGUGGGUCAGCUGUAAUAACACAACAUCUCCCCCUUUAGUACCAGGUGGGUCAGCUGUAAUAACACAACAUCUCCCCCUUUAGUACCAGGUGGGUCAGCUGUAAUAACACAACAUCUCCCCCUUUAGUACCAGGUGGGUCAGCUGUAAUAACACAACAUCUCCCCCUUUAGUACCAGGUGGGUCAGCUGUACUAACAUAACAUCUCCCCUUUAGUACCAGGUGGGUCAGCUGUAAUAACACAACAUCUCCCCCUUUAGUACCAGGUGGGUCAGCUGUACUAACACAACAUCUCCCCUCGGUACCAGGUGGGUCAGCUGUAAUAACACAACAUCUCCCGCUUUAGUACCAGGUGGGUCAGCUGUACUAACACAACAUCUCCCCCUUCAGUACCAGGUGGGUCAGCUGUAAUAACACAACAUCUCCCCCUUUAGUACCAGGUGGGUCAGC